UGGGGAAUUUUGGACAAUGGGGGAAACCCUGAUCCAGCCAUCCCGCGUGUGCGAUGAAGGGCCUUCGGGUUGUAAAGCACUUUUGGCAGGAAAGAAACGUCGCGGGUUAAUACCCCGCGGAACUGACGGUACCUGAGAAUAAGCACCGGCUAACUACGUGCCAGCAGCCGCGGUAAUACGUAGGGUGCAAGCGUUAAUCGGAAUUACUGGGCGUAAAGCGUGCGCAGGCGGUUCGGAAAGAAAGAUGUGAAAUCCCAGAGCUUAACUUUGGAACUGCAUUUUUAACUACCGGGCUAGAGUGUGUCAGAGGGAGGUGGAAUUCCGCGUGUAGCAGUGAAAUGCGUAGAUAUGCGGAGGAACACCGAUGGCGAAGGCAGCCUCCUGGGAUAACACUGACGCUCAUGCACGAAAGCGUGGGGGAGCAAAGCAGGAUUAGAUACCCUGGUAGUCCACGCCCUAAACGAU
rnacentral:rRNA from 1 species